GUGGCUGUGGUGAAGUGGUUAACACGGCGGAUUGUGGCUCCGUUAUCCGAGGGUUCGAGUCCCUUCAGUCACCCCA
rnacentral:tRNA from 2 species